rnacentral:rRNA from 1 species
GAUGAACGCUGGCGGCGUGCUUAACACAUGCAAGUCGAACGGUGAAGCAGAGCUUGCUCUGUGGAUCAGUGGCGAACGGGUGAGUAACACGUGAGCAAUCUGCCCCUGACUCUGGGAUAAGCGCUGGAAACGGCGUCUAAUACCGGAUACGAGCUGCGAAGGUAUCUUCAGCAGCUGGAAAGAAUUUCGGUCAGGGAUGAGCUCGCGGCCUAUCAGCUUGUUGGUGAGGUAACGGCUCACCAAGGCGUCGACGGGUAGCCGGCCUGAGAGGGUGACCGGGCACACUGGGACUGAGACAAGGCCCAGACUCCUACGGGAGGCAGCAGUGGGGAAUAUUGCACAAUGGGCGAAAGCCUGAUGCAGCAACGCCGCGUGAGGGACGACGGCCUUCGGGUUGUAAACCUCUUUUAGCAGGAAAGAAGCGAAAGUGACGGUACCUGCAGAAAAAGCGCCGGCUAACUACGUGCCAGCCGCCGCGGUAAUAC